GAAAAUAAGGAAGGGCGCACGGGGGAUGCCUCGGCUCUCAAAGGCGAAGAAGGACGUGACAAGCUGCGAAAAGCUCAGGGGAGGUGCAAAUGACCGUUGAUCCUGGGAUGUCCGAAUGGGGUAACCCAGCACCUGGAAGGGGUGUUAUUCCCGGGCGACCGGGAAAGCGAACGCGGGGAACUGAAACAUCUAAGUACCCGUAGGAAGAGAAAACAAUAGUGAUUCCCUAAGUAGUGGCGAGCGAACGGGGAAUAGCCCAAACCGGUUCCGUUAAGGCGGGGCCGGGGUUAAAGGACAGGCGUAAUUGAGUAACGUUGAAGUGGAACCAUUUGGAAAUUUGGGACACAGAGGGUGAUAUCCCCGUACACGUAAGACAGUUAUUUAAGGCUUGUAUCCUGAGUACCGCGGGACACGUGAAAUCCUGUGGGAAUUCGGCGGGACCAUCCGCCAAGGCUAAAUACUUUUGAGAGACCGAUAGUGGACAAGUACCGUGAGGGAAAGGUGAAAAGGACCCUGAACAAGGGAGUGAAAUAGUACCUGAAACCGUGCGCUUACAAGCGGUCGGAGUCCUGAUUUAUCGGGAUGACGGCGUGCCUUUUGCAUAAUGAGCCUACGAGUUGCUCCUCACUAGCGAGGUUAAUCCCGGGUACGGGAGGAGCCGAAGCGAAAGCGAGUCUGAAAAGGGCGCUUGAGUUAGUGGGGGCAGACGCGAAACUUUGUGAUCUACCCAUGGCCAGGAUGAAGUUUUGGUAACACAAAAUGGAGGUCCGAACCAGUUAGCGUUGAAAAGCUUUUGGAUGAGCUGUGGGUAGGGGUGAAAGGCUAAUCAAACUGAGAGAUAGCUCGUACUCCCCGAAAUGUAUUUUGGUACAGCCUCAGGCGAGAGGUGUCAUAGAGGUAGAGCUACUGAUAAGGCUAGGGGGCUUCACCGCCUACCAAACCUUGAUAAACUCCGAAUGCUAUGACAUAGGCCUGGGAGUGAGCCCUAGGGUGCUAAGGUCCUAGGACGAGAGGGGGACAACCCAGACCAUCAGCUAAGGUCCCUAAAUAUAUGCUAAGUUGGAAUAACGAGGUCCGAUUGCUUAGACAGCUAGGAUGUUGGCUUGGAAGCAGCCAUUCAUUUAAAGAGUGCGUAACAGCUCACUAGUCGAGCGAUUGGGCGUGGAUAAUAAGCGGGCAUCAAGCAUAUUACCGAAGCUAUGGAUUGAUACUUUAGGGUAUCAGUGGUAGGGGAGCAUUCCAACCAGCGCAGAAGGUGUUGCGUGAGCAUAGCUGGAGCGGUUGGAAAAGCAAAUGUAGGCAUAAGUAACGACAAACAAGGUGAGAAACCUUGUCACCGAAAGACUAAGGUUUCCUGAUCAACGUUAAUCGGAUCAGGGUUAGUCGGGGCCUAAGGGUAAGCCGAAUGGCGAUCCUGAUGGACAACUGGUCAAUAUUCCAGUACAUACUUAAACUGCGAUGGGGCGACGAAAGAGUGAAAGGCCUGCGCACUGACGGAAUAGUGCGUUAAAGCGUGUAGGUAAACUUGUGGUAGGCAAAUCCGCCACGGGUGCCGAACGUGAAAGUACCGGGAGCCUUCGGGCAACUGGAUAAUGGCUGUAAACAGGUUUCCGAGAAAACCCUCUAAGCAUAGGUUUAAGUAUCCCGUACCGCAAACCGACACAGGUAGUUGGGGAGAGAAUCCUAAGGUGCUCGAGUGAAUCAUGGCCAAGGAACUAGGCAAAAUAACCCCGUAACUUCGGGAGAAGGGGAUCCCGCGCGAGCGGGACGCAGAGAAAUGGCCCAGGCGACUGUUUAGCAAAAACACAGGGCUUUGCAAAAUCGUAAGAUGAGGUAUAAGGCCUGACACCUGCCCGGUGCCGGAAGGUUAAGAGGAGAUGUCAUCGCAAGAGAAGCAUUGAAUUGAAGCCCCGGUAAACGGCGGCCGUAACUAUAACGGUCCUAAGGUAGCGAAAUUCCUUGUCGGGUAAGUUCCGACCUGCACGAAUGGUGUAACGAUCUGGGCGCUGUCUCAGCCAUGAGCUCGGUGAAAUUGUAGUAUCGGUGAAGAUGCCGAUUACCCGCAACGGGACGGAAAGACCCCGUGAACCUUUACUAUAGCUUUACAUUGAUUUUGGGUAAACGAUGUGUAGGAUAGGUGGGAGACUGUGAAGCGGGGCCGCUAGGUUUCGUGGAGUCAACGUUGAAAUACCACCCUUUGUUUGCCUGGAGUCUAAUCCCGCGGGGCGGGAGACAGUGUAUGGUGGGUAGUUUGACUGGGGUGGUCGCCUCCCAAAGAGUAACGGAGGCUCCUCAAGGUGCCCUCAGCACGAUUGGUAACCGUGCGUAGAGUGUAAUGGCAUAAGGGCGCUUGACUGUGAGACCGACAAGUCGAUCAGGUAGGAAACUA
rnacentral:rRNA from 1 species